rnacentral:rRNA from 1 species
UACGAAGGGUGCAAGCGUUACUCGGAAUUACUGGGCGUAAAGCGUGAGUAGGUGGUUUCUUAAGUCUGCUGUGAAAGCCCCGGGCUCAACCUGGGAACGGCGCGCGAAACGGGAGGGCUGGAGUUCGGGAGAGGAGAGUGGAAUUCCCAGUGUAGAGGUGAAAUUCGUAGAUAUUGGGAAGAACACCGGUGGCGAAGGCGGCUCUCUGGACCGAGACUGACGCUGAGGCGCGAAAGCGUGGGGAGCAAACAGG